GGAGGAGUAGCGAAGUGGCUAAACGCGACGGACUGUAAAUCCGUUUCUUAGGGUUCAGUGGUUCGAAUCCACUCUCCUCCA
rnacentral:tRNA from 1 species